UUGUUUUGAACUCAUUCCAACCAUGUACUGCUAUGUAACAGAAGAGUUCACUUCAUAGUGAUAAAUUCUUUUAGCAAAUCUGUAUUGCUAGAGAGGUGAUAGUUCCUACUUGAGAGAUUCUGCAGUGAUAAAGUCUUAAUAUAUGAGCUUUAAUAUAUUGAAUCCUGAUUUCAGUUCCCAGCAAAAAAGAAACAAGGUGUAUCUGCACAGUACCUUUCACAUAAUCCCCUCAUGCUAGCUGCUUAACUUUGUUUUUGAGAGAGAGAGUAAAUAAAGAAGUUUAAAAGUCAUUGAGCUGCCAGUCAUGGUGGCUCACACACCUUUAAUUCCCAGAGCUGGGGAGGCAGAGGCUGGAGAAUCUCUGUGAGUUCAAAGCUAGCAUGGUACUAUAUAGCAAGUUCUAAAACAGCCAGGGCUACAUAGGGACUGUCUCAAAAAAAAAAAAAAAAAAAAAAAAAAAAAAGUCACUGAGGCUAUGUAUACAAGAAAAGGAACGCCCUCAGUGUGUUUUAUUAACAUGUCUGAUGUCCUUAGAUGAUAGUAAUCCAUGCUGUAUAACAUGAGAAGCUCAUGGAGUUGUCUCAUUUUCCAAGCUAAGUAUUGUUCUCGAUAUUAAAUAUAGCACAUUUAUUGUUAAAAAACAGUUAAUAGGACACCAAGUUCAAAAAGCAUAUUCUUUUAAGGAAUGUGUACCUUGGAGUAGAGGGCUGGCUCAACAGUUAAAAGCAGAUACUGCUCUUAUAGAAGACCCAAGUUCAGUCCUGGGCACUAAGGUCAGGUGGCUCACAACCUAUUUUUGACUCCCAACUCCAGGGGAUUUGACAUCCUCUCUACAGGCACUUGAUUCACAAAUACACACAAAAGCUCACACACUUGAAAAAUAAAUUAAAUCUUCAUUGUUAAACCCUUAUCAGAGAAGUGUCUUCUUGCAGUAGAUAGGAUUUAGCACAGAGACCCAUAACUGGACAGUGUGCAGUCAGUGAAAGACGAUGAAGCACUUGACCCUAAAUGGGAUGUCCUCAUCAAACUCCUCUCCUUGAGGCUCAGGGAUCAGUGCAGAGGAGGAGACAGAAAGUUGUAAAAGCCAGAGAGAGAAUGGAUGAUUCCAAGAGAACAUAUUUUAGAUGCACAUAUGAAUUCAGAGACUGUGACAUCACUAACAUUCAAGCAAAAUCCCAGCAGAGAGAAGUAGAUAUGAGGUCCAAGAAACUAUUUGCAGUUGAUAGCUGUUGAGAGAUAGAAAAUCAGUUUACCCAGUGUAGUGACCCUGGGUAUAUAGCCACACUCCAGGGCAGGGCCACUCUUGGAGUAGUUGACUAACACAGAAUGGAUGCCAUGGAUUGUUGCCGUUGCUGCUGCUGUUAUGGUUUGGCAAUUUUGUCUAUAGUAUUUAUUUUGUUUUCUUGGGUUGUUGGGCUUUUUGUUUUGUUACGUUUUGUUUGUUUUG
rnacentral:lncRNA from 1 species